GUUGGAUAAAAAUAAUGUUACAUAUAUAGAAGAGGGCGUAUUUCAAAAUAUGUCAGCUUUAAGAGUACUGUAAGUUUUUCUUAUAAAAAGAAUAUAAAUUAUAUUGAUUGCAAAACAUGAGACUCUAACAAGGAAGUGUUGAAGAGUCGCUGUGCAAUUAUAUUUAAUGUGAUAACACAUGAUAUGUAAAUGAUGCGGAAUUAUAUUGAGGAUUUUUAUUUAGCCUUUCAAUUAAGACAUGUAAGAUACGAUUCAGAUAAAUACUGACCGAUCAACUAAAAAAACCUUCAAUGUACAGAAUUUUUCAUUUAGCACUUUAUUAGAUAUUUGGAAAUUAUUUUCAUCAACACAGUUGUUUGACCAUUGCACACGAUCAAUUCAUAAUUGGGAUUCUUGAGGUGUUAGUUUACUUUUGUUUACAAGAGUUAAGUAAACGUGAUUGUACCAUGUUGUAUUCUAGUGUUUAAAAUUUUCAUGUUUUAUUUAUUGUAUACUAUAUGCAUAUUUACAGCGCUCUGGACUUAUACUGUGAUUGCAGCAUAAUUCCGUUUUGGAAUUGGUUAAAACUAGUAGGGAAGUACGGGUCAACUAUUACUUGCUUUGAGCGAAAUGGUGCAUUUCUGUCAAGUUUACUUAGCUGCGCUUUCAACAAAUGUAACGG
rnacentral:lncRNA from 1 species